AGAGUUGAGGCCAAUGGCGGCUCCACCAUCCUGUGGCUAUGAUUCCUGAACUUGUGGUCUCCUCAGUUGAUGAGGUGAAGAAAGAAAGCCUGGAGAAUUAUGCACGAGCUUCUCACUGUCUCAGCCCACAAGUAACACACCUCUUUCCCUCACAGCCCACACUGGCUGGAACCAAUCACAUAGCCCUGCCUAACUGCAAGGGAGGCCAGAAAGUGCAACACUUUCUCAUGGUCACGGGUGAGCACGAAACAUCUCUCCAAAUAUGGGUUGGGAAGAUUAAGAGACUAGUCCAGAAGAAAACAGUCUCCAGGGAGAAAUAUAUCUGGGAAUAGGAAUCGAGAAAGCAACCAAGAGAGCAGAACUGAGUGGAUGAGAGGAACUGUCAGACCACAUCUGCAGCUCUGAUUAGUCAAAUCCGAAAUGUGCCUGUUGAUCUACUAUUCCGUGGAAAUACUGGAAUCACCAGCUCAAUAAUAAGAGGCGCUGGAUCCAGGGCAAAAAUGAAGACAUAAGGGACCUUAGGUGACAAGGAAGAAGCUCCCAGGCAGCAUGUGGGAUGGACCCAAGGAGAACGUCAGAGAGAAAGAGUUCAGUCUGGUGUCUCCUGAAGCAGGUUAAAAUUAAGCUCGGCAGGCUCGACGUAAAUGUGCAGACAAAGCAAAGCAGGAAGCCUCCCACACUAAAAAGGGAAGAUAAGAAUCACAGAAGCUGGGAUGGUUUUUAUUGAAGGGCAUUUCAAAGCAAAUACAGACAUCUACAGCAUAUUUGUAAAUCCUCCGUAUGUGUAUGGAAACACACACCUUCACACAUCAAAACUGGAUUUGUUCCUGAGUAACAAAACGUCCUAAGAACAAAAUGAAAGAAAACCAAAUAGCAGAAAAAUACUUCCAAUGUAUAUACCACAAAGGAUUAUUUAUCAACUCAACACACCAAGAGUUAAGAAAAUAAUGCAACAGGAACAAAGGGCAAAGGAUAUGUACUGGGAAGACCACAGAGAAAGAAAAUGCAAAUGGCUAAUAAUAUAAAAUAUUUCCUAGGUUCAAUAGUAAUCAGGGAAAGACAAAAUUACACUUUUGACCUCUUAGACUGGCAGUGACAAAGAUUAUUUGAGUGACCAAGCUUUAGUCAGGCUCCUGGAUCUUCUAGGCCCAUCUGGGCACUUCCUCGUAAAAUACAGUUUUAACAAAAGCCCUGCUAAAUUGGUUUACCGAGAACUCCCACCCUCAAUCGAGUUCCUUAGCCCUUCACCUUUCCUCAGGUGAGGGCUGAUCAUCCUGUCCUGUCUUCAGCAAGACUGCUCUAACGCUGACGUUUCCUUUUAGUAAUUUUCCAUCCACUGACACCCACUUGUAAUUUAUAGCCAAGGAGCAAGAUACACUGCUCCUUGGCUAUAAGUUAUUUUCCCUGUUACAUUCAGAGUUGAGCCCAAUCCCACUCCCCGACUACAAAAUCGAUAGCAGUGGUCCCUAUACCUAUUGCAAUGGUCCUAAAUAAAACCUGCCUUACCGUGCUUGAACAAGUGUCAUCGAAUAAUUUUUUAACAGCAAAUUGUUGGAGGUAAAGACAUUUUUAAAUGUCUUCAAUUAGUUUAGCUACUUCCACGUAAUGUUAAAAUCUCCAUCAAUUGGCUAGUUACUGUCCCUUCCUGAGAAGAAGCAGACACCAUAGCCCUGCAUACUGUGGAUUCACUCCUAAGUUGAUAUUGAUAUGAAUGAAAUAGUUAUCUCCC
rnacentral:lncRNA from 1 species